CCCUUAGAUGUUCUGGGCCGCACGCGCGCUACACUGAUGAAUUCAACGAGUAUACUUUUCUUCGGAAAAUUCCUUGGUUGAGAUGCCUAGGUAAUCUUUUAAACGUUCAUCGUGAUGGGGCUAGAUUAUUGCAAUUACUAAUCUUAAACGAGGAAUUCCUAGUAAACGCAAGUCAUCAGCUUGCAUUGAUUACGUCCCUGCCCUUUGUACACACCGCCCGUCGCACCUACCGAUUGAAUGGUCCGGUGAAAACCUCGGAUUUCUGGUUAUUUCUAGCAAUAGAGAUUUUCGGGAAGAAGUCGUUUAAACCUUACCAUUUAGAGGAAGGUGAAGUCGUANCAA
rnacentral:rRNA from 1 species